AUGCAUUAUAUUUGAAAUAUUUACAGAGAUUUCAAGAAAAUAGAAGUGUGAAACAAGUUAAAACCAUCUUUGAACCAAACUGAAGGAUUUAAAAAUUUAUAAAGAUUGCAAAAAUUGAGAUUCUAAAUUGCCAUCAUUUAUUAUGGCUUCCAUUAUUGCAUACAUAUGAAUAAAUGAGGCUAUCGCUUCUUCAGUGGGGACAGAAAGGCCCCCUCUUUCAACAGAAUGGGACCCAUAACCAGAAAUAUAAAUUUUAAUGGAAUCAUCUACAACACAAUCGGACAAGUAUUCGGUAUCGAAGAUUCCUGAGAAACAAGUCACAUCAGUGGGAAGAUCAUGAAGAUCGUUAUUAUUGUCAUCACAAAUUCGAAAUUUAUUUUUGAUUUCAGUACUAUCAUAAUUUCCCUUGCAAUUGGGAACACAGCAACGCCGUGGC